GGUGGCUCAGUGGUAGAGUGCUUGCCUUGCAUGCAUGAGGCCCUGGGUUUGAUGCCCCAACACCA
rnacentral:tRNA from 1 species